UGGUAACAGAGCAGAAUAGAGAACCCAGAAAUAAAACUGCACACCUACAGCCAUCUGACCUUUGAAAAACCUGUGGGUUUUUAUCCAAUUCUUUGUUCAAAAUGCCAAGAACCUGGACACCCUCCACCGGUAACAACAGGUACUGGGGCUUAAGACUUCAAUAUAUCCUUCUGCGGACAUAAUUCAACACAUAACCCUUUCACAAAGAAAAAGACAAGAAUUUAAGAUAGAAUAAGAAUGUUAGAAUAGAAAUGGUCUUAACAGUUUUCUACAAUAACCACCUACUUGUAUUUUUGAAGAAACAGGCAUGGAAUGAUUAGGAGAUUUACCCAUGGUCACACACAGAUAAAAAAGGACAGAGCUGGAAUUGGAAAUUGGUAGUGACAGGGAAAUUUACAAAUCAUGCAAAUACAUUUCUGGUUAAACACCUAAAACAGUCAAGGCUGGCCCUCGGAAAAAAGUGGGAAUUAGGCAGCGCAUCUGAGUCUUUCUCAUCUCCCUUCAUUUAUUUCUGCUUUCUUCCCUGUUGGAACCUCCUUGGCCUCACUCUGUCCUCUAGGAGCAGGUGGUAUAUACUGAGCGCUUCCUAUGUGCUGGACAUUGUGCUAAGUCUUCCUCAUUUAAUUCUCAUAACACAGUGGUAAACACUAUUAUGAUCCCAUUUUACAAAUGAGGAAACUGGACUUCAGAUAUUAUGAUUCUGUUUUACAAAUGAGGAAACUGGACUGAGAUGCAAACACAGGCAGAGCUCACAUUUGUCUUAAAGAUUAUUGUAUACAUCUAAAAGGUACAAAUGCAAUUUUGUUCUAUGGAUGUAUUGCACAGUCUGAAAUCUAGGCUUUUAGUGUAUCCAUGACUCAAAUAAUGUGCAUUGUAUCUAUUAAGUAAUUCUCAGCACCCACCCUCUCCCAUCCACAUUCUCUUUUUUUAACUACUCUCUUAUUCUAUUCCUCCUUCUUGCCAUUGCGCCCCACCGCCAUACACCUGCACACACUUUAUGCUUUGCUCACAGUCCCUUCCUAGAGGCCCUCCUUAAGCCUGCCUUCCUAGACAGGGUUCUAUAUUUCAGAAUCGUCUCUUGUACUCUGCCUGUUUCAGUGACGAGGUGGUACAGAAAGAAACCAGUUGGCUGUAUGAGCAGGUCCUUCCAGGGGCAGAGGGUCUGUUUUGCAAAUUUGAGGAUUCAGAAACUUUGUCAGCUCUCCCAGAAGUGUUCGGGUCUAGGGAUGGGAUUGCCCUACCUAAAUUUACAAUUGGUUGAUUGCAAAUCCAGAAUACCAAUUUGUGGAUUUACACUGAGAAAGAUGCCUGCGAAGUGCUGCAACCAGAAAGCAGUAUUGAAAAGGGAGAGCUGCCUAGACAGGGCCUUGCCAGGGGUCUGAUAGCAAGAUUCUAAUGCCCAUGAGUAGGGUGCUGGUCUCUCUGCCACCGAAGGGAACAGGACAGAUGGGCUGGGAGUGCAGGCCAUGGGCUUGACUCCUGGGUAGCACGGUCCCAGGGGCUAGGUUGUCUCAGGGCUUUUCCUCAGGCAACCUGAGGCAGAAAGCCACAUACUUAUGUGGAGAAGGGCCAAGGCUCUAGCAGGAAAGCCAGUGCCAGGACUUGAAUUCAGAGGACAGAAAGGGGAACACGAGGAGGGAAUUCAGUAGCUCAGGGAGAUGUGGGCAGGCAAGCAGUGUUGGAUUCUUUGCUCAGUCUGAGCCUUGUCUGGGACUCUUUGGAUUUAGGCCUGCACAAGGUCAUCCUGGUGAUCAAACCCCAGCUUUCUCCUGAGGGCUUUGACUUGACCUGACCGUCAGGGCCUUGGCAGACUGUGCUGCCUCAGGCAGAAGCUUCAUACUCUGGCUCUGACCACAUAAAUCCCAAUCCUCCCCAGGAUGGGAGGAUUGAGGUAUUUAGCCACAAAUCUACGGUUCCUGAGGUCCCCAUUAGCUGCCCUGGCAAUGCCUCGCCACCCUCCACUCCCUGAGUCUGUCAUGGUCCAAGAAGGAAAAUGCAAAGUUCCAUGGGUAGGUUUCCACUUUGGCAGACCAGAAAGUACAGGUGAGGGCAGAGUUGAUUCCAUGGCUGGUUCAGAGAGCAAGCAAGCUUUAGGUAAAAGUCUUACAACAGACAUGUUGGAUUUUUCCACUGUUGCUUGCUUUUCUCUUUUUGCAUCAUUGGAUCCAGAAAUCAUUAGAUUUUUUUGCCUCUGUCGUGUUAUCUCUCACUUGCGGACAUUAUUGCAACAGGCAUUAACUUCUUAUUUUAUUAGUAGCCAUUAACCAUACACAACUGAUCUAUGUGGCUUCUAAAGAGCCACAUCAACUGCACCUGUGUUCCAGUCACCUCCACGGACAGCUGGCUUCAGCAAUCACCCAGCUGGAUGAGCUGCCCUGGAUCAGAGCAUUGUCUGUUAAUCACUAAUUCCACGAUUAUAAAAGAUAUUCUCCUGGCUGGGGCAUGGUGGCUCACAACUGUAACCCCAACACUUUGGGAGGCUGAGUCUAGCUUCCCUGCGCCUUCCACCGUGAAUGGAAGCAGCCUGAGGACCUCACCAGAAGCUAAGUAGAUGCUAUGGCCAUGCUUCUUGUACAGUCUGCAGAACCGUGAGUCAAAUUUUUAAAAUAAAUUACCCAGCCUCAGGUAUUCCUUUAUAGCAACACAAAGUGGGCUAAGAUAAUUGUCUGUCUUGCGCUGCACUAGAUAAACCUGGGACUGUGCAUUACAUACUGCUGCUAUCUGUAAUGUAUAACACAGUACACAGCACUGGAUAGAUCUUCAAGAAAUGUUGAAAUGUUUGUUGAAUAAAUGAUACACAGUCAAGUAAUUUUUCCAACUCAUGGCUAGAAAAUGGCAGAGCUAAGACUUGCAGGGGCGUAUUUUUUCAAUGUUUAAAAAACAAAGCAAAUGACGCAUAACAGAAAAGUGCACUUAACACCAAUGAAUUUUCACAAAUUGAGCAUACUUUUUAAAUUAGCACUCAGGCGAAGGAAUAGAACAUUGGCAGCAUCUCAGAAAUCCCGUCAUGCUUCCUUUCUAAAUUACUACCCCUCUUUCUUACCCCAAUGUAACCAACAUCCUGAUUUCUAACAUCAUAAGUUAGUUUUUCCUGUUUUUGAACUUUAUAUAAGUGGGAUAUAAUAGUAUAUACGCUUUUGUGUCUGGCUUCUUUUGCUCUAUGUUUGUGAAAUUUAGAAAUGUUGUGAGUAGCAGUCAUUGCUCAUUUUUAUUUAUUUUUAUUGAGAAUUACACAGCAGUUCUCAAACUUUUUGGUCUCAGGAUCCCUUUAAACGUAUACCAAUUAUUGAGGAACCAAAUAAAUUUUGCUUAUAUGGGUUAUAGCUAUUGAUAUUUACUGUAUUAGAAAUU